GGUUGGCAUUGGGGGUAAGGGGCUUUUGCUCGAGGUCUCUGUGCACUUGUGCCCUUCUGCCCUUCUGAAGACAGGCAAUGGCUGUGAAUGGCCACAUCCCACUGGCCCGGUGGCCCGGCGGGGACGUUUGUCACCGUCUGCAGGAGCAGCGACACGGGGAGAGCGGAUGGGAAAUCAAUAUGGAGACUGUGAGCUGCGGGACUCAGGGACCCGCUGCGCCAGGACCUUUUAUUGAAUUUGUGAUCUUCCUCAUUGUUCCUCUGCUGUUUUGUAUCCCCUUCUUGUUUUUAUGGUGCAGAAUUGGAUUUGACUCGAUUUUCCUUCAUAUUGCGCUGCAGCCAGCCUGGCGCGGCAGCACCACGAGCCCCAGCCCUGUGGUGAUGCUUUGGUCUCACCCUGGCACCUCCUGAGGUGAUGGGGUUAUUUGUGCUGGUAAAAAUUGGAUUAGAAGGCGAGAGAGCAAUCGGGGACUGCUGAAUUGCUAAGGCACUCUGUGCAGCAGGAUCUGCUGCAGUUGUCUUGGUCCUGAGCCACGGUAAUUGUAUCCUAUGAAAUAUUUAUUCAUUUUCAUUUCAAUUUCGUUUCCAACUUGUAUUUCCUAUAAAAUGAUGUGGAAGGGGAGGAAAAAAAAAAAAAACCAUCCUCAGUGCAUUUAUCAUCAUAACAGGUUCCUUCCCAAAGCUUUCCCCAAAGUGGCACCGGCGGGCAGGACCACACAGUUCUGCUGUUCCUGCACCUCAAAGCGUUAUCUAUCAUCGUGCUGGGGGGGCUGGGGUUGCAGAAUCCAACACAGCCUCCAGCAAAAUGCCCCAAAUCCUCCAUGCAUCCCUGGGAUGGCUGUAAGGGGAUCACAUCCACCAACGGGGCCGUAAAUUCCGGGUGAAGACUGUAUCAUCUCCGUCCCCAUCGAUGUGAAAGUGUUUCCCCAGUUGUUAUUAUUUCCAGGCUGAUCGCAGGCGCUGUCUGAUAACAGCUGAUUGCUUCUCCUCCCAUUUGCAUACAAUAAAUAUCACCGUCAAAGCCUGCAUGGGAGAGCUGAACCGCGCUCAUGCCUUAUUUAUGAGAAAUAAACACGAGAUCAAGUUUGCAUAAUCAACACAUCUUUAAUUUGU